rnacentral:rRNA from 1 species
CAUUUAAAGAAAGCGUAAUAGCUCACUGGUCGAGUCGGCCUGCGCGGAAGAUGUAACGGGGCUAAACCAUGCACCGAAGCUGCGGCAGCGACACUAUGUGUUGUUGGGUAGGGGAGCGUUCUGUAAGCCUGUGAAGGUGUGUCGUGAGGCAUGCUGGAGGUAUCAGAAGUGCGAAUGCUGACAUAAGUAACGAUAAAGCGGGUGAAAAGCCCGCUCGCCGGAAGACCAAGGGUUCCUGUCCAACGUUAAUCGGGGCAGGGUGAGUCGACCCCUAAGGCGAGGCCGAAAGGCGUAGUCGAUGGGAAACGGGUUAAUAUUCCCGUACUUGGUGUUACUGCGAAGGGGGGACGGAGAAGGCUAUGUUGGCCGGGCGACGGUUGUCCCGGUUUAAGCGUGUAGGUGUGUGUUCCAGGUAAAUCCGGUUCACUUUAACACUGAGGCGUGACGACGAGGCACUACGGUGCUGAAGCAACAAAUGCCCUGCUUCCAGGAAAAGCCUCUAAGCAUCAGGUAACAUCAAAUCGUACCCCAAACCGACACAGGUGGUCAGGUAGAGAAUACCAAGGCGCUUGAGAGAACUCGGGUGAAGGAACUAGGCAAAAUGGUGCCGUAACUUCGGGAGAAGGCACGCUGACACGUAGGUGAAGUGAUUUACUCACGGAGCUGAAGUCAGUCGAAGAUACCAGCUGGCUGCAACUGUUUAUUAAAAACACAGCACUGUGCAAACACGAAAGUGGACGUAUACGGUGUGACGCCUGCCCGGUGCCGGAAGGUUAAUUGAUGUGGUCAGCGCAAGCGAAGCUCCUGAUCGAAGCCCCGGUAAACGG